rfam:Ciona savignyi cont_41544, whole genome shotgun sequence.
GCUCUCGUACAGUGAAACUGCGAAUGGCUCAUUAAAUCAGUUAUGGUUCAUUUUGAUCGUACAGUUUACUUGGAUAACUGUGGUAAUUCUAGAGCUAAUACAUGCGAGAAGCGCCGACCUCGCGGGAGGCGUGCAUUUAUCAGACCAAAAACCGGCCGCGUCUUCGGGCGCGUUCGCCUUGGUGACUCUGGAUAACUUUGCGGAUCGCACGGUCUAGCACCGGCGACGGAUCAUUCAAGUGUCUGCCCUAUCAACUUUCGUCGGUACGGUAUUUGCCUACCGAGGUUCUUACGGGUGACGGGGAAUCAGGGUUCGAUUCCGGAGAGGGAGCCUGAGAAACGGCUACCACAUACAAGGAAGGCAGCAGGCGCGCAAAUUACCCAUUCCCGACGCGGGGAGGUAGUGACGAAAAAUAACAAUGCAGGACUCGUUCGAGGCCCUGUAAUUGGAAUGAGUACACUUUAAAAGCUUUAACGAGUAUCCAUUGGAGGGCAAGUCUGGUGCCAGCAGCCGCGGUAAUUCCAGCUCCAAAAGUAUAUAUUUAAGUUGUUGCGGUUAAAAAGCUCGUAGUUGGAUUUUGGGCGCAGGCGGCCGGUCCGUCGCAAGGCGUGUACUGGACGUCCUGGCCUUCCCUCCGGUUCUCCGCCGGUGCUCUUGACUGAGUGUCGGCGGCGGCCGGAACGUUUACUUUGAAAAAAUUAGAGUGUUCAAAGCAGGCUCUCGAGCCUGGAUAAUGGUGCAUGGAAUAAUGGAAUAGGACCUCGGUUCUAUUUUGUUGGUUUUCGGAGCGCGAGGUAAUUAUAAGAGGGACAGACGGGGGCAUUCGUACUGUGCCGUUAGAGGUGAAGAAU